rnacentral:rRNA from 1 species
AUUGAACGCUGGCGGCAGGCUUAACACAUGCAAGUCGAGCGAGCGGCGGACGGGUGAGUAAUGUCUGGGAAACUGCCUGAUGGAGGGGGAUAACUCCUGGAAACGGUAGCUAAUACCGCAUACCAUCAGAUGUGCCCAUAUGGGAUUAGCUAGGCUGUGGGGGAAUGGCUCACCUAGGCGACGCUCCCUAGCUGGUCUGCGAGGAUGACCAGCCACAUGGGAACUGAGACACGGUCCAGACUCCUACGGGAGGCAGCAGUGGGGAAUAUUGCACAAUGGGCGCAAGCCUGAUGCAGCCAUGCCGCGGGUGUGAAGAAGGCCUUCGGGUUGUAAAGCACUUUCAGCGAGGAGGCGUUACUCGCAGAAGAAGCACCGGCUAACUCCGUGCCAGCAGCCGCGGUAAUUC